rnacentral:lncRNA from 1 species
CAACUUCGUAGCACAGAUGGAAACCAAAAGAAGCACAUCAGUUGCCCUCGUAUUUUGGGUCAGCCAUCACAUAAUGAUAAGCAAUCACCAGCACAAAUAUAAAGAUGCCAAGAAAAUUGGCAAAGAAGCCCAAGUCCUGGUCGUCAAUCAUCUGCAUAAACAACAAACUUUCUCAAUUUAUUGGCUAGUCAAAUAGAUCAGAACAAGAUUUUUACUGGUGUGGCCAAUCAACAAAGAAGAAAUAUAGUACACAUGGUAAAUCAAUGCUGAUUUGUAAGAGUCGGACAUAGACAAAAAUUUUUGUUGUUAAGCGAUUGCAAUCGUUGCUUUUCGUCCACUAUUUGCCACACAUUUAUUUAAGUAGGAGUCCAAUGACCCUCCAGGCAACAACCACUUACUGAGAUCAUAGUUAUGUUUUUCGAAGCUUAUGACUCCCCGUCUCCCCAGGAGUAUUUUCUAUGCAAAUUCCAUACUUGUCAAAAUAUAGGAAAUUUUUUAAGUGCUUGAAAGUCUUCUUUAUAUUCAUCAAACUCCAUGUCAAGUAGGGAAAGGGUAGGGAUAUUAGAAGUGGAGACAAAGACGAAAUGAUGCUAUUAGUAUGACAUUUCUCAGGAUUAUGUAGAGAAUUUGCACGUGGAAAGUAAGAUAGCAAUGGUCAAAAGAUUAAGGAAUGUAUAAUGUUGAUUUCAAGGGCAAUAAAAAGGGUUCUCAAGACAACAAUCAAACUAAGAAGAAAUUACACAGGGAAUGUGCCUACUCUAGCAUUUCUAAAUAUCUUAUCUUGCCAAAAUAUCCUACACUGUAUCCUUAUAUAGAGUGUGAAUACUAAAAACUGUCUUCCAGUCCCAAUGCCUCAAAAUCUCACCUAUUUAAACAAGAAAGCAUGCAGGUAGAAGAAGCAACUAAUAAGAGCUAGCUUGUCUAGUAAUUGCAUUGGCACAAUUAAGAGAAGAAGACACCGUUUUAGCACGAGGGUUUCAUCAUUAUGAACAAGAGAUGGUGAAAGAAAUGCCAAUACUAUCUAUCACAAUAACUACACAGAAGGUGAAGAUAUUUAUGACAUUCACAGA